UUUAAGUAAUUAAAAUUUAAAUAAUAGUGAAGAUGCUAUUUAGAACUGUAAGACGAAAAGUCCCUAUAAAGCUUAACUAUACAUUGAUGACUCUUAAAAAUUCGAAUUUUUAAGAAUUUAAAUCGAUGAGGUAGUUUUGUUGGGGCAACAGCAUUUUAAAAAUAAAGAAUAGCAACCAUAUAUAAUAUGUUUAACAUAAUAUUUAUUGUUUAAUCAAUGAAUUUAACAAUCACUAAGUGGGGUAAAUGACCUGUCAUUCAGGUAAAAAUCAAAUGACAAUAAAUAGAUAAAAGCUACUUUAGGGUUAACAGGUUAAUUUUAUCUUAGAGAUGGUAUCGAAGAUAAAGUUUGACACCUCGAUGUUGAAUUAAGAUAUCCUGAUUAAUGCAGCAGUUAUGNUUGGNCNGUUCNACCNUUAAAAUCCNACNUGAUUUGA
rnacentral:rRNA from 1 species